rnacentral:lncRNA from 1 species
AUUUGUUGUAUUUGUAAAAAUAAAAGAGUUGUGAGGAAUUUCCCACGAUGACAACUCACGCAUUCUUGGCGCACCGAAAACCCAGGUUACCGGCUGAACUGUCUUCUGUGUUCUGCGAGCGUGCCGCGCACCUGUACCUGUAGCAGUAGGACUUGUGACACAGAUAAGAACCGCCCUUCUUGACCCGAUUUGGAUUAUCGCUAACGUCAUUUACGUCCCACAGAUCUGCCGUCCACUCCCAGACGUUGCCCACCAUGUUGUGCAGGUCGUAAAUAUUCUGUCGGAAGGCAUCCACGGGGCUGGUGUACUCAAACCCAUCUUCAGCCAGGUUGCCAUCGGGAAAGUCUCCCUGCCAGAUGUUCAGCCAAUGUUCAUUCCUUGGCAUCAGCUUGUUGCCCCAGGGAAACAGUUUGCGCUCCUUGCCGCCCCUGCAAGCCGCCUCCCACUCCGCCUCGCUGGGCAACCGCUUGCCGGCCCACUUACAGUACUCCACAGCGUCGCGCCACGAUACGUGCACUACCGGGUGUCGGCCUAAGUGGUCUAUAUCGCUGUCCACGCCAUUUGGAUGUCGCCAGUUCACGCCGGCCACUUUGUACCACCAGACAGCGCUCGCCACUCGGAAGUCCUCUAGGUUCUUCUGCUCCAAUGGGCUCAAAAGGCUCUUAAACAGAAAACUGUCGCCAUAUCGCUCAGCCUCCGUGGUGUAGUUAGUGUGCAGAACAAACUUCGCAAAGGCUUCGUUGGAAACCUCAUACUUGUCGAUGUAGAAGUCAUUCAGCUUCACCUGCCGUUCCGGAGCCUCGCGGUCGGCCGGAAAGUGCGGUUUGUCAGUACCCAUGUAAACCGUGCCUCCCGGAAGCAGUGACAUGUCCGCAAUAUUUGGCUCCAGUUCGCCAUAGUAAUCCCGGUAGUGGCUGUGUGCACCCUGUGCUCGUUGCUGGCACACUUGUCCGGAAAUGGACGGCAU